rnacentral:rRNA from 1 species
UUCCGGUUGAUCCUGCCGGACCUGACUGCUAUCGGAUUGAUACUAAGCCAUGCGAGUCAUUGUAGCAAUACAAGGCAUACGGCUCAGUAACGCGUAGUCAACCUAACCUAUGGACGGGAAUAACCUCGGGAAACUGAGAAUAAUGCCCGAUAGAACACUAUACCUGGAAUGGUUUGUGUUCCAAAUGAUUUAUCGCCAUAGGAUGGGACUGCGGCCUAUCAGUUUGUUGGUGAGGUAAUGGCCCACCAAGACUAUUACAGGUACGGGCUCUGAGAGGAGUAGCCCGGAGAUGGGUACUGAGACACGGACCCAGGCCCUAUGGGGCGCAGCAGGCGAGAAAACUUUGCAAUGUGCGAAAGCACGACAAGGUUAAUCCGAGUGAUUUGUGCUAAACGAAUCUUUUGUUAGUCCUAGAAACACUAACGAAUAAGGGGUGGGCAAGUUCUGGUGUCAGCCGCCGCGGUAAAACCAGCACCUCAAGUGGUCAGGAUGAUUAUUGGGCCUAAAGCAUCCGUAGCCGGCUCUGUAAGUUUUCGGUUAAAUCUGUACGCUUAACGUACAGGCUGCCGGGAAUACUGCAAAGCUAGGGAGUGGGAGAGGUAGACGGUACUCGGUAGGAAGUGGUAAAAUGCUUUGAUCUAUCGAUGACCACCUGUGGCGAAGGCGGUCUACCAGAACACGUCCGACGGUGAGGGAUGAAAGCUGGGGGAGCAAACCGGAUUAGAUACCCGGGUAGUCCCAGCUGUAAACGAUGCAGACUCGAUGAUGCAUUGGCAUAUAGCCAGUGCAGUGUCGCAGGGAAGCCGUUAAGUCUGCCGCCUGGGAAGUACGUACGCAAGUAUGAAACUUAAAGGAAUUGGCGGGGGAGCACCACAAGGGGUGAAGCCUGCGGUUCAAUUGGAUUCAACGCCGGG